UCCCUCUUAGCUCAGUGGUAGAGCGCGUCACUAGUAUGUCGAUGGGGGAUUAUGCAUGACGAGGUCAGUCGUUCAAGUCGGCUAGAGGGAA